rnacentral:lncRNA from 1 species
UUCACUUAAUUCUAACAACAGGAACGAGGGUACUGUGGGCUUCAUUUCAGAGAAGAGGAAACUGGGAUUUGGAGCUGAAGUAACUUGACCAAGAGCAGAUGGCAGGCACCCCUGAGCAUGAAAUAUAAAUUUCCCCCUGAGGAUUUAUGCCUUAUGUUUCUAGAGGGACAUAGAGAAGACAGAUAACUGCAAAAAAACUUUUUAUGGUUCACUGAGGACAAUCAACUCCUUCACAAUCUAGAACCCGAAGAUUGGAUCCUCUGAGACAUCAGAGAAAGAUUGCUUUAGCCAUCCUCACUGCAGUAAAACUUCAGGACCUCGAGCCUUGGGUUCAUAAUCUCACAACUGAGAAGGGUCCCUCCACACUGUUGAACUGUACACCCAUUGGAACCCUUAAGGUAAAGCUAACCAGGGAAGUUUCUCCCUAAGAAGAAGAUGGCAUCCUUGAUGCAAAAAGCUUUUCCCAACAUCACAGAUCAAGACUUCUAUUAUCAUGAGACUCUUAUCUUUGAAUACUUUUCCCCUUGCUUAUGCCUGUAUGAACAAUACAAGUGGAAAAGGGG